AAAUCCCAUAAAGCCGUUCUCAGUUCGGAUUGUAGUCUGCAACUCGACUACAUGAAGCUGGAAUCGCUAGUAAUCGUAGAUCAGCAUGCUACGGUGAAUACGUUCCCGGGUCUUGUACACACCGCCCGUCACACCACGAGAGUUUGUAACACCCGAAGCCGGUGGAGUAACCUUUUAGGAACUAGCCGUCGAAGGUGGGACAAAUGAUUGGGGUGAAGUCGUAACAAGGUAGCCGUAUCGGAAGGUGCGGCUGGA
rnacentral:rRNA from 1 species